rnacentral:rRNA from 1 species
CGGAGGGUGCAAGCGUUAUCCGGAUUCACUGGGUUUAAAGGGUGCGUAGGUGGGUUGGUAAGUCAGUGGUGAAAUCUCCGAGCUUAACUUGGAAACUGCCAUUGAUACUAUCAGUCUUGAAUACCGUGGAGGUCAGCGGAAUAUGUCAUGUAGCGGUGAAAUGCUUAGAUAUGACAUAGAACACCAAUUGCGAAGGCAGCUGGCUACACGAAUAUUGACACUGAGGCACGAAAGCGUGGGGAUCAAACAGGAUUAGAUACCCUGGUAGUCCACGCCCUAAACUAUGGAUACUCGACAUACGCGAUACACUGUGUGUGUCUGAGCGAAAGCAUUAAGUAUCCCACCUGGGAAGUACGAUCGCAAGAUUG